rnacentral:rRNA from 1 species
UUGCUUGUUGGGGUUGUAGGACACUCUAUACGGAGUUACAAAGGACGACAUUAGACGAAUCAUCUGGAAAGAUGAAUCAAAGAAGGUAAUAAUCCUGUAGUCGAAAAUGUUGUCUCUCUUGAGUGGAUCCUGAGUACGACGGAGCACGUGAAAUUCCGUCGGAAUCUGGGAGGACCAUCUCCUAAGGCUAAAUACUCUCUAGUGACCGAUAGUGAACCAGUACCGUGAGGGAAAGGUGAAAAGCACCCCGGAAGGGGAGUGAAAUAGAACCUGAAACCGUGUGCUUACAAGUAGUCAGAGCCCGUUAAUGGGUGAUGGCGUGCCUUUUGUAGAAUGAACCGGCGAGUUACGAUUUGAUGCAAGGUUAAGCAGUAAAUGUGGAGCCGUAGCGAAAGCGAGUCUGAAUAGGGCGUUUAGUAUUUGGUCGUAGACCCGAAACCAGGUGAUCUACCCUUGGUCAGGUUGAAGUUCAGGUAACACUGAAUGGAGGACCGAACCGACUUACGUUGAAAAGUGAGCGGAUGAACUGAGGGUAGCGGAGAAAUUCCAAUCGAACCUGGAGAUAGCUGGUUCUCUCCGAAAUAGCUUUAGGGCUAGCCUCAAGUGAUGAUUAUUGGAGGUAGAGCACUGUUUGGACGAGGGGCCCCUCUCGGGUUACCGAAUUCAGACAAACUCCGAAUGCCAAUUAAUUUAACUUGGGAGUCAGAACAUGGGUGAUAAGGUCCGUGUUCGAAAGGGAAACAGCCCAGACCACCAGCUAAGGUCCCAAAAUAUAUGUUAAGUGGAAAAGGAUGUGGCGUUGCCCAGACAACUAGGAUGUUGGCUUAGAAGCAGCCAUCAUUUAAAGAGUGCGUAAUAGCUCACUAGUCGAGUGACACUGCGCCGAAAAUGUACCGGGGCUAAACAUAUUACCGAAGCUGUGGAUUGUCCUUUGGACAAUGGUAGGAGAGCGUUCUAAGGGCGUUGAAGCAUGAUCGUAAGGACAUGUGGAGCGCUUAGAAGUGAGAAUGCCGGUGUGAGUAGCGAAAGACGGGUGAGAAUCCCGUCCACCGAUUGACUAAGGUUUCCAGAGGAAGGCUCGUCCGCUCUGGGUUAGUCGGGUCCUAAGCUGAGGCCGACAGGCGUAGGCGAUGGAUAACAGGUUGAUAUUCCUGUACCACCUAUAAUCGUUUUAAUCGAUGGGGGGACGCAGUAGGAUAGGCGAAGCGUGCGAUUGGAUUGCACGUCUAAGCAGUAAGGCUGAGUAUUAGGCAAAUCCGGUACUCGUUAAGGCUGAGCUGUGAUGGGGAGAAGACAUUGUGUCUUCGAGUCGUUGAUUUCACACUGCCGAGAAAAGCCUCUAGAUAGAAAAUAGGUGCCCGUACCGCAAACCGACACAGGUAGUCAAGAUGAGAAUUCUAAGGUGAGCGAGCGAACUCUCGUUAAGGAACUCGGCAAAAUGACCCCGUAACUUCGGGAGAAGGGGUGCUCUUUAGGGUUAACGCCCAGAAGAGCCGCAGUGAAUAGGCCCAAGCGACUGUUUAUCAAAAACACAGGUCUCUGCUAAACCGUAAGGUGAUGUAUAGGGGCUGACGCCUGCCCGGUGCUGGAAGGUUAAGAGGAGUGGUUAGCUUCUGCGAAGCUACGAAUCGAAGCCCCAGUAAACGGCGGCCGUAACUAUAACGGUCCUAAGGUAGCGAAAUUCCUUGUCGGGUAAGUUCCGACCCGCACGAAAGGCGUAACGAUUUGGGCACUGUCUCAACGAGAGACUCGGUGAAAUCAUAGUACCUGUGAAGAUGCAGGUUACCCGCGACAGGACGGAAAGACCCCGUGGAGCUUUACUGUAGCCUGAUAUUGAAAUUCGGCACAGCUUGUACAGGAUAGGUAGGAGCCUUUGAAACGUGAGCGCUAGCUUACGUGGAGGCGCUGGUGGG